UAAUACGUAUGGGGCGAGCGUUGUUCGGAUUCACUGGGCGUAAAGGGCGUGUAGGUGGUGUGGAAAGUCGGAUGUGAAAUCUCCAGGCUUAACCUGGAAACUGCAUUCGAAACUGCUAUGCUCGAGUACCGGAGAGGGAGACGGAAUUCCUGGUGUAGGGGUGAAAUCUGUAGAUAUCAGGAAGAACACCGGUGGCGAAGGCGGUCUCCUGGCCGGAUACUGACACUGAGGCGCGAAAGCUAGGGGAGCAAACAGGAUUAGAUACCCUGGUAGUCCUAGCUGUAAACGUUGUGCACUAGGUGUAAGUGGUUUCAAUCCACUUGUGCCGCAGCUAACGCAUUAAGUGCACCGCCUGGGGAGUAUGCUCGCAAGGGUG
rnacentral:rRNA from 1 species